CCGGAUGAUCCUCAGUGGUCUGGGGUGCAGGCUUCAAACCUGCAGCUGUCUAGCGACAGAGUGGUU
rnacentral:tRNA from 1 species